rnacentral:rRNA from 1 species
CACCGCGGUUAUACGAGAGGCCCAAGCUGACAGUCCCCGGCGUAAAGAGUGGUUAAUUACCCCACCAAACUAAAGCCGAACAUCUCCAAAGUCGUACAACGCACUCGAAGAUAUGAAGAUCAACCACGAAAGUGACUUUACACUCUUUGAACCCACGAAAGCUAGGGAA